rnacentral:tRNA from 1 species
GUCCGAGUGGCGGAAUGGCAGACGCGCUAGGUUGAGGGCCUAGUGAGGGCAACCUCGUGGGGGUUCAACUCCCCCCUCGGACACCA